rnacentral:rRNA from 1 species
GGCGGGCUGUUAAGUCAGCGGUCAAAUGUCAGGACCCAACCUUGGCAUGCCGUUGAUACUGUCGGUCUUGAAUGCACCCAAGGAAGGUGGAAUUCGUCAUGUAGCGGUGAAAUGCUUAGAUAUGACGAAGAACUCCGAUUGCGAAGGCAGCCUUCUGGAGUGCAAUUGACGCUGAGGCUCGAAAGUGCGGGUAUCGAACAGGAUUAGAUACCCUGGUAGUCCGCACCGUAAACGAUGAAUGCUGGUCAUGGGCGACAAGCUGUCCGUGACUGAGGGAAACCAUUAAGCAUUCCACCUGGGGAGUACGCCGGCAACGGUGAAACUCAAAGGAAUUGACGGGGGCCCGCACAAGCGGAGGAACAUGUGGUUUAAUUCGAUGAUACGCGAGGAACCUUACCCGGGCUUGAACUGCACAGGACGCGUCCAGAGAUGGUCGUUCCCUUCGGGGUCUGUGCGGAGGUGCUGCAUGGUUGUCGUCAGCUCGUGCCGUGAGGUGUCGGCUUAAGUGCCAUAACGAGCGCAACCCUCGCCGUCAGUUGCCAUCAGUAUAGGCUGGGCACUCUGUCGGGACUGCCAUCGCAAGGUGCGAGGAAGGUGGGGAUGACGUCAAAUCAGCACGGCCCUUACGUCCGGGGCUACACACGUGUUACAAUGGGGGGCACAGCGCGUUGCGACCGGGUGACCGGCAGCGGAUCGUGAAAUCCCCUCUCAGUUCGGACUGGAGUCUGCAACCCGACUCCACGAAGCUGGAUUCGCUAG